AAGUAACGUCACAGAAGUAAGCUAUUCACUUACUCCCUUUCCUCCUUGCUUAAAGUGCUUUACAACCCUAGAGCCUUCUUCACACACGCGGCAUGGCUGGGUCAGGCUUGCGCCCAUUGCCCAAUAUUCCCCA
rnacentral:rRNA from 1 species